GUUCUACUCAUGUCUCGAUCUCUCGGAGGCCUGGGGUGGUUACACUGGCUGUCUGCUGUGAGCCCCUGAUGAUAACUAAAGGCCAUUUGGGCCGUCAGGAUCGAAUCCAACGGUGCCUGCUGCUCAUGCCAUCUCCCCCCUCCAUCCUCUCGCUAGAGUUACGGCAAGGCAACGCGGCGGCGCUCCGCCUCCCUCCCGCUCCGCGCGCCGCCACCUCCCAUGGCGUCGCUGCUCCGCCUCCAGGCCUUCGCUCCAGCCCUAAACGUCCCCCACCACCGUUGCUUCCUCUCCCCGCUCCACCUCGCCUCCGCGGCCGCGGCUCCGCUCGCUCGCCGCCUCCACCAGCUCGCCGGAGCCGCCAUCCUCGGAACCGAAUCUAGAGUCAGGUCUGUACCUUGUCGCAACGCCAAUUGGAAACCUUGAAGAUAUCACCCUGCGGGCACUGCGUGUCCUUAAAUGUGCUAAUGUGAUAUUAUCUGAAGACACAAGGCAUUCUGGAAAGCUGCUUCAGCACUAUAACAUCAAAACACCUCUUCUUAGCUUCCAUAAGUUCAAUGAGCGUGAGAGAGAGCCCAGUAUCUUAAGGAGGCUUCACGAAGGUGAAGCAGUUGCAUUGAUAAGUGAUGCCGGUACUCCAGGCAUUAGUGACCCUGGCAUGGAAUUGGCUAGACUAUGUGCAGCUGAGAAAAUUCCUGUCGUUCCCAUUCCUGGGCCUUCUGCUGCAAUUGCUGCUCUUUCUGCGUCGGGUUUGCCAUCUAAUGAAUUCACAUUUGUUGGGUUUUUACCAAAGCAUGCUCGGUCAAGAAGAGAUAGGCUUGAGAUAUCUGCCUGUGAAGCUGCUACACAAAUAUUCUAUGUUCCUCCCCAUGGCAUUCAUCAAUUUCUUGUUGAUGCUGCUGCAUCUUUUGGCGAUUCAAGGUCAUGUGUUAUUGCAAGGGAGAUAACAAAAUUACAUGAAGAGUUCUGGCGUGGAACUCUAGGUGAAGCAAAUGAGGCCUUUGCAACUCGACAGCCUAAGGGAGAAAUCACAGUGCUCAUAGAGGGGCAGUUAAUUUCAGUUGAUGAAACUCCAUCAGAGGAUUUCCUUGAGCAUGAACUAAGAGAAUUGAUGGCAAAGGGACAUACCCUUUCAGCAGCGGUGAAAUUGGUCACUGAAGCUACAUCAGCAAAGAAGAAAGAUGUUUAUGCUCUUGCAUUGAGGUUGUUUGGAAAAUGAGUGAAGUGCAACUUUUGAUCGUAUCUGAAUGAGGUGGACAGCAUUUUUCCUCUUACCAAAGCCAGAGGUGGUGUCCAUGUAACUCCGUCCUUCCAGAAGCCAUCUUUCAUCCUCAACACUGUAAAAGAGUGAGAGUGACCAUGAACUGUCAGACCCUGUGCAGCUGCAACGAACUUAGUCUGGCUUGCAUGUCACGUCUUGUGCAAAGCCGCAGGUUCACCACUGCUGGAACACCCCAACACCAUCGUCCCAUAAACACUGUGACUAGCUGUAAGAAUGAAUACAUGCCAUGAUUGUCAGCUAGGCUAGGUUUGUUUAGUUGUUAGAACGAAUUCAUGCCAUGAUUGUCAGCUAGGUUAGGUUUCACACUUUUACUGCUGUGGUUCUCAGGUAAAAGGUUCCAUUCAUUUGGCUGUACUGUAUUGGUCGUGGACAUGGCAUUCUCAGCCUGAUGGUUCAACUCACCCAAUCGUUAAUGAGAUGUAUAGACUUUUCUAUCUGAACAUAAGAACAUUAAUUGGUAGUUAGCCCUAAA